UAUACACCUUGUACUUUACGUGUAACGUUUACACCUGAUCGUUUUUUCUGAUCGAAAAACCUUACCAUUAACCUAAUUCUGAUUUUUAAUGUUUAUGCGGGGACAUACAUGAACAUAAAGAGAAAACAAAGACAUUUUGAGAAGUUGUCUAGAAACUGAACGUUUUGAUCAAAGCAAAUCUUCAGCUGUGGAGCAGAAAGACACUUCCUUAUUCAUAGUCAGUGCUGAAGAUCAAACUGUUCAGAUCCAUCAUGAAUGAAACACAAACAUCUGGAGAUGAAGAGUAUUCUCCAGCCUGCAGCUCAGUUCAUCAGAAGAGAUCAGAAGCAGUGCCCAGCUGUGUGUCUAUGAAGAGUGACUGGUCUAUGGAUCGGCUACCAGAGUUUAAGAGUGAAGAUUCCCAGCCUGGAU